AUCACUCUGUUACAGAUCCCUGAAUGAUUUUUUUUUUUAAUUAGUGAUCAACAAAGCAGAAGCAUUCUUGCAUUCGAAAUUUGCAAAAGACAAUUAUUUAUCAUUUCCUGAAUGUGUGCAGAAAAUUGUUAGUGCACUUAGAAAAUUAGUUUUACAAAAGAGAAGAUGUCCAUCUUCUAUUAACACACCAGACCACCAAAGAAUUAAUGGAAAAGAUCAGUGCAUGCAAAUUUGUAGGACCAGUCCAUAAUCUUCGAUGGAAGAAGAUUGGAUUGAUUUAACACACCAGACCACCAAAGAAUUAUUUCUUUUUUUUUUUUUUUUGGGUGGAGUCUGCUCGACACAUUCACCAUUUUAACGGAACUUUAGCAUAAUUCUAACUAAUCAAAUCAGAUCAUUGACAAUUUGACAGACAGCGUGGAAACACCAAAUCCAUUCCAUUUUUUAACAUACGAAACUAAAUUGACAUUGAAAGCGAAUUAGAUAAAGAAAUUUAGAUUACCUCAGAUCUCUUCCGCCCUCCAACCUCUCACAGACUCACAGUCAUGAUUUUUUUUCCUUUUUUUUAUUUUUCAUUUUGGGGUCUGAAUAUAAACAUUCAACUUCGAGCUUUUGCUAGUUUGGUUGCUGGCUUGCUCGCGUCUCCCCCUCCAGCCUCCACUCUCCACAGCAAGCUUUAUUCCUUUGUUAAAUUACAAAAGGACCCCUGAGUUGUUUUGGGUAAGGAGUUUCUUGCAUAAUUAAAGUACUUUAUCUUAUAGUCACCGCAUCAUCGGAUGAUUCGAUUUUGUUUAACCAUUCGAUGGAAUUAGGUUAUGGGUAAGACAUUGUAGAUGGAUCUAUUAUUUAUAUAAUUAGGGUACAAUACUUUACACUCUAAGCACCGUCAAAUGAUCUGAUUU
rnacentral:lncRNA from 1 species